GCUCCAGACUCCUACGGGAGGCAGCAGUGGGGGAUAUUGCACAAUGGGGGAAACCCUGAUGCAGCGACGCCGCGUGGGCGAAGAAGUAUUUCGGUAUGUAAAGCCCUAUCGGCAGGGAAGAAGAAAUGACGGUACCUGAGUAAGAAGCACCGGCUAAAUACGUGCCAGCAGCCGCGGUAAUACGUAGGGGGCAAGCGUUAUCCGGAUUUACUGGGUGUAAAGGGAGCGUAGACGGUCCUGCAAGUCAGAUGUGAAAGCCCGGGGCUCAACCCCGGGACUGCAGUUGGAACUGUAAGGCUAGAGUGUCGGAGAGGCAGGCGGAAUUCCUAGUGUAGCGGUGAAAUGCGUAGAUAUUAGGAGGAACACCAGUGGCGAAGGCGGCCUGCUGGACGAUGACUGACGUUGAGGCUCGAAAGCGUGGGGAGCAAACAGGAUUAGAUACCCCUGUAUAC
rnacentral:rRNA from 1 species